UCUUCGAUUCGACCCACUACGUGGGGCGGUAUUACGAAGUGUCUCCAUUGUUGAGCGAUUCUUGUAGCCCAAGAGAAGUCCGGUUUGGUUCUCAAGUCUAUUGUAGGGCUGACAUAAUACAGUAGAAAUGUUGCAUAUAAUGCGAAGGCAAACUGGAGACAUGAUUCCGAAAGAUACCCAUCUUCUUCUCAACGCAACUUCGGAACAAUCGCAACCCUGUAGCAAAACCGCAUAUCAGAUACGUCCUUUUCAUAUGAUACUGAAAAGACUGAUCAUCCAGACCGAGCUGAAAGUAAUUUUCUUACCUUAAAACUCACAAAUAUUGAUAUGUCGAAUUCUGGACAAAAACUAUCUUCCACCUGAGAAACCUGUGAACGGAUA